GUUCGGCCUGGCCGCGCCUCUCGUCGGCCUCCGGGCCUUCGCCCUGGGGGCACAGCCCGCAACGCACCUCGGCCUUCCAUGCGCGCGCUGGGCUGCUCCCCGCUCCCCGCCUUCUUCCGGGCUCCGAAAGCAACGCAGGGAAGCUUCUAGGCGUCUGGGGAGCAACUGGGAUCUCAAGGUCUUGCUAACGUGUCCACUGCGGCUGCUCGCGGGAAAGCAACGGAAGUUGGAGAGACUUUGCAACAGCUGCAAGAGUUUCAGUCCGGGGCAGAGAGCGACCACCGGGGCGAGGCGAAGUCCCGCGGCCGGCGUGCGCCCGACCCACGGAACCCCAAGGCCUCGCUGCUCCCGGGGCGGGCCCCACCUGGCCAAGAGCGCGCGGACGUGGGCUGCAGCCGCCCGCCUCGGCUCACCUUUCGUCAGCGUGUCCAGCACCCCCGACUUCUCCAAGUACCUCCGGAACUGCUCGCGCUUCGAGUCGGCGGCCUGAGGAGACACGGCGGGUCAGGGACCGGAGCCCGGGGCCGGAGCAGGAAGACGGCGCGCCCCGCCGCCGGCCCCAAGCCCUGCACACGCCCCAACUCCCACCCGGCGCCGCCCGCACGCCCCGAGCCACGCCGCGCCCCCCUCACUUUGUAAUGGGCCAUAGUGACAGCCA
ensembl:antisense Gm12905 predicted gene 12905